UUUUUCUUUUUUUUUAGGAUAAGGGAGCCAUGGUCAUGUUUGAGAGCAGUGGGGAAGAAGUCAAUGGAGAGCAAAAAGCUGAAGAUGGCAAUUAGGGAAGGUCAGGUGGAGAACCACUAGAGGGAGCGUCACCACCAUUCGAUUAGAAGGACAACUCCACACUUGUAAUUUCCAGAGGCAGCCAGGUUACUGUGUUUACAGCGAACACACAAUCAGACGACCGAAAAAUCCCCCCCUUCCAAAUGCGAAAGGAAGGGAGAAUAUUCGGCAAAAUAAUUCAUGGAGUUCUUAAAAAAAAGGCUUUUACUCCAAAUAUCCGAUAAAGGACCUUAACUGAAACUCUGGAGUGCAAAAUUGGCGAUGCAAUUCGGCAAAUGAGCUGAGAGUCACUGGUUCUUGAGAGUUGAAAACCCCUAGCACAGGAGGUCAGGGCAAGAAUUUCAACAGCCGAAGAAAAGCGGGGCGUGUUAAGCAAAGGGAAAUUUGCUAAUAAAGUCCCUUUAUAAAGGAAA